rnacentral:rRNA from 1 species
UCAGGACGAACGCUGGCGGCGUGCCUAACACAUGCAAGUCGAGCGGGGACAUGGAAGUAGCAAUACGGAAAUGUCUAGCGGCGGACGGGUGAGUAACGCGUGAGCAACCUGUCCCAGUCAGGGGGAUAACGAGCCGAAAGGCUCCCUAAUACCGCAUGAGACCACAGCAUCACAUGGUGCAGGGGUCGAAGGAGAGAUCCGGACUGGGGUGGGCUCGCGUCUGAUUAGCUAGUUGGUGAGGUAAAGGCCCACCAAGGCGACGAUCAGUAGCCGACCUGAGAGGGUGAUCGGCCACAUUGGAACUGAGACACGGUCCAAACUCCUACGGGAGGCAGCAGUGGGGAAUAUUGGGCAAUGGGGGAAACCCUGACCCAGCAACGCCGCGUGAAGGAAGAAGGUCUUCGGAUCGUAAACUUCUAUCCUUGGUGAAGAUAAUGACGGUAGCCGAGAAGGAAGCCCCGGCUAACUACGUGCCAGCCGCUGC